rnacentral:rRNA from 1 species
UCGAGAAUUUUUCACAAUGGGCGAAAGCCUGAUGGAGCGACGCCGCGUGGGGGAUGAAUGGCUUCGGCCCGUAAACCCCUGUCAUUUGCGAACAAGUUAAUCUACCUAACACGUGGAUUAUUGAUAGUAGCGAAAGAGGAAGGGACGGCUAACUCUGUGCCAGCAGCCGCGGUAAUACAGAGGUCCCAAGCGUUGUUCGGAUUCACUGGGCGUAAAGGGUGCGUAGGUGGCGAAGUAAGUCGGAUGUGAAAUCUCCGGGCUCAACCCGGAAAAUGCAUUGGAAACUGCUUUGCUCGAGGGUUGGAAGGGGGACUGGAAUACUUGGUGUAGCAGUGAAAUGCGUAGAUAUCAAGUGGAACACCAGUGGCGAAGGCGAGUCCCUGGACAACUCCUGACACUGAGGCACGAAAGCUAGGGGAGCAAACAGGAUUAGAUACCCCUGUAGUCC